UGGAGAGUUUGAUCCUGGCUCAGAUUGAACGCUGGCGGCAGGCCUAACACAUGCAAGUCGAACGGUAGCAGGGAGAGCUUGCUCUCGGGUGACGAGUGGCGGACGGGUGAGUAAUGUCUGGGAAACUGCCUGAUGGAGGGGGAUAACUACUGGAAACGGUAGCUAAUACCGCAUAACGUCGCAAGACCAAAGAGGGGGACCUUCGGGCCUCUUGCCAUCAGAUGUGCCCAGAUGGGAUUAGCUAGUAGGUGGGGUAAUGGCUCACCUAGGCGACGAUCCCUAGCUGGUCUGAGAGGAUGACCAGCCACACUGGAACUGAGACACGGUCCAGACUCCUACGGGAGGCAGCAGUGGGGAAUAUUGCACAAUGGGCGCAAGCCUGAUGCAGCCAUGCCGCGUGUAUGAAGAAGGCCUUCGGGUUGUAAAGUACUUUCAGCGGGGAGGAAGGUGUUGCGGUUAAUAACCACAGCAAUUGACGUUACCCGCAGAAGAAGCACCGGCUAACUCCGUGCCAGCAGCCGCGGUA
rnacentral:rRNA from 1 species